rnacentral:rRNA from 1 species
GAGUUUGAUCCUGGCUCAGGAUGAACGCUAGCGGCAGGCUUAACACAUGCAAGUCGAGGGGCAGCACGGGUAGCAAUACCUGGUGGCGACCGGCGGAAGGGUGCGUAACGCGUGAGCAACAUACCCUAUACAGGGGAAUAAGCCAGGGAAACUUGGUCUAAUGCCCCAUAGCAAUAGAAUAAGGCAUCUUAUUUUAUUUAAAGCUUCGGUGGUAUAGGAUUGGCUCGCGUGACAUUAGCUGGAUGGUGAGGUAACGGCUCACCAUGGCGAUGAUGUCUAGGGGUUCUGAGAGGAAGGCCCCCCACACUGGGACUGAGACACGGCCCAGACUCCUACGGGAGGCAGCAGUGAGGAAUAUUGGACAAUGAAUGGAAAUCUGAUCCAGCCAUGCCGCGUGCAGGAAGACGGCCCUAUGGGUUGUAAACUGCUUUUCUACGUGAGCAAUAAGGUCUACGAGUAGACUGAUGAGAGUAGCGUAGGAAUAAGCAUCGGCUAACUCCGUGCCAGCAGCCGCGGUAC